AGAUUACCAGCAGGCCUGGGAGGGUAUUCGCCGUGUACCUCUCCUAGCCCGCCUACGGC
rnacentral:misc_RNA from 1 species